rnacentral:misc_RNA from 1 species
CUUAAUUAUUCCCCUCUCUCUUAUCCAACAUUAUACAUUGACAAGAACAGGGACACAAUGUCACCCGAAUUCUUCUUCUUCUUUUUCUUCCUCUUCUGUUUUGUCCACUUCUUGCCCAAACAGCACUUAUAGCACCAAUCCACAAAGAUCCCGAUAGCCUUCUUUACACUGUGACUGUUUAUUUAAAAACUCCUCUUCAACCCACCAAAUUACACCUUGACCUUGGCGCAUCCUUCACCUGGGUCGACUGCUUCAAAGACUACAACUCCACCACUUACCAACACAUCCCCUGCGAUUCUCCUCUCUGCAAUUCCUUCCACACCUUCUCAUGCGCCAACUGUUACGACCCUCCGGGUCCCGCCU